rnacentral:rRNA from 1 species
CCUACGGGAGGCAGCAGUGAGGAAUAUUGGACAAUGGGCGAGAGCCUGAUCCAGCCAUGCCGCGUGCAGGAAGACUGCCCUAUGGGUUGUAAACUGCUUUUAUACAGGAAGAAUAAGCCUUACGUGUAAGGUGAUGACGGUACUGUAAGAAUAAGGACCGGCUAACUCCGUGCCAGCAGCCGCGGUAAUACGGAGGGUCCGAGCGUUAUCCGGAAUUAUUGGGUUUAAAGGGUCCGUAGGCGGAUGAUUAAGUCAGGGGUGAAAGUUUGCAGCUCAACUGUAAAAUUGCCUUUGAUACUGGUUAUCUUGAGUUGUAUUGAAGUAGGCGGAAUAUGUAGUGUAGCGGUGAAAUGCAUAGAUAUUACAUAGAACACCAAUUGCGAAGGCAGCUUACUAAGUACUAACUGACGCUGAUGGACGAAAGCGUGGGUAGCGAACAGGAUUAGAUACCCUGGUAGUCCACGCCGUAAACGAUGGAUACUAGCUGUUCGGGACCUUGAGUUCUGAGCGGCUAAGCGAAAGUGAUAAGUAUCCCACCUGGGGAGUACGUUCGCAAGAAUGAAACUCAAAGGAAUUGACGGA